GCCCGGUUGGCUCAGUCGGUAGAGCGUGUGACUCUUAAUACAUCUCAAUCAGCGUCUGCUGGUGAAGGAUUUGUUAGUGAUCUCAAGGUCGCGAGUUCGAGCCUCGCAUUGGGCU